GCCGGGCGCGGUGGCGCGUGCCUGUAGUCCCAGCUACUCGGGAGGCUGAGGUGGGAGGAUCGCUUGAGCCCAGGAGUUCUGGGCUGUAGUGCGCUAUGCCGAUCGGGUGUCCGCACUAAGUUCGGCAUCAAUAUGGUGACCUCCCGGGAGCGGGGGACCACCAGGUUGCCUAAGGAGGGGUGAACCGGCCCAGGUCGGAAACGGAGCAGGUCAAAACUCCCGUGCUGAUCAGUAGUGGGAUCGCGCCUGUGAAUAGCCACUGCACUCCAGCCUGGGCAACAUAGCGAGACCCUGUCUCU
ensembl:misc_RNA Metazoa_SRP Metazoan signal recognition particle RNA